UGGAGAGGUUUGAUCCUGGCUCAGGACGAACGCUGGCGGCGUGCUUAACACAUGCAAGUCGAACGGAAAGGCCCCUUCGGGGGUACUCGAGUGGCGAACGGGUGAGUAACACGUGGGUGAUCUGCCCUGCACUUUGGGAUAAGCCUGGGAAACUGGGUCUAAUACCGAAUAGGACCGCAUGCUUCAUGGUGUGUGGUGGAAAGCUUUUGCGGUGUGGGAUGGGCCCGCGGCCUAUCAGCUUGUUGGUGGGGUAAUGGCCUACCAAGGCGACGACGGGUAGCCGGCCUGAGAGGGUGUCCGGCCACACUGGGACUGAGAUACGGCCCAGACUCCUACGGGAGGCAGCAGUGGGGAAUAUUGCACAAUGGGCGCAAGCCUGAUGCAGCGACGCCGCGUGGGGGAUGACGGCCUUCGGGUUGUAAACCUCUUUCAGUAUCGGCGAAGCUCCAGGAUUUUUCUUGGGGUGACGGUAGGUACAGAAGAAGCACCGGCCAACUACGUGCCAGCAGCCGCGGUA
rnacentral:rRNA from 1 species